CUGGUCGAACGAAAAGGCAGAUCGUACGUAUUUCUCAACGGCAAGGAACAACGACAUUAUAAUCGAUUUUGAUAAUACAUUAUUUAUAUUAUUUUUUUUAAAUAAUUACUUUCGAAUUAAUCUUCAAAAUUAAUUCCCAUAAAGGAGAGAAAAAGAAAAAGGAAAAAGAAAAA